rnacentral:rRNA from 1 species
GAUGAACGCUGGCGGCGUGCCUAAUACAUGCAAGUAGAACGCUGAAGGAGGAGCUUGCUCUUCUGGAUGAGUUGCGAACGGGUGAGUAACGCGUAGGUAACCUGCCUGGUAGCGGGGGAUAACUAUUGGAAACGAUAGCUAAUACCGCAUGACAACAGUUAUUGCAUGAUAACUGUUUAAAAGGGGCAACUGCUCCACUACCAGAUGGACCUGCGUUGUAUUAGCUAGUUGGUGAGGUAACGGCUCACCAAGGCGACGAUACAUAGCCGACCUGAGAGGGUGAUCGGCCACACUGGGACUGAGACACGGCCCAGACUCCUACGGGAGGCAGCAGUAGGGAAUCUUCGGCAAUGGACGGAAGUCUGACGAGCAACGCCGCGUGAGUGAAGAAGGUUUUCGGAUCGUAAAGCUCUGUUGUAAGAGAAGAACGAGUGUGAGAGUGGAAAGUUCACACUGUGACGGUAUCUUACCAGAAAGGGACGGCUAACUACGUG